rnacentral:rRNA from 1 species
UGAGUAAUGUCUGGGAAACUGCCCGAUGGAGGGGGAUAACUACUGGAAACGGUAGCUAAUACCGCAUAACGUCGCAAGACCAAAGUGGGGGACCUUCGGGCCUCACACCAUCGGAUGUGCCCAGAUGGGAUUAGCUAGUAGGUGGGGUAAUGGCUCACCUAGGCAACGAUCCCUAGCUGGUCUGAGAAAAUCACACCCACACUGGAACUGAGACACGGUCCAGACUCCUACGGGAGGCAGCAGUGGGGAAUAUUGCACAAUGGGCGCAAGCCUGAUGCAGCCAUGCCGCGUGUAUGAAGAAGGCCUUUCCGUGUAAAUAACUUUCAGCGGGGAGGAAGGCGGCGGUGGAGUUAAAUUUCCCCGAUUGACGUUACCCCGCAGAAGAAGCACCGGCUAACUCCGUGCCAGCAGCCGCGGUAAUACGGAGGGUGCAAGCGUUAAUCGGAAUUACUGGGCGUAAAGCGCACGCAGGCGGUCUGUCAAGUCCGAUGUGAAAUCCCCCGGGC